UACACACAGCUACUAUGAAUGCUCUUCAGUUUCUUACUGUGCACCACUCUCGUACACACUGCAAACUUUCGGAAGUGACAACCGCAUAUAAAUGCGUGAGUGAAUCCCCGAAAUGACCGUUUCAUGUCUGUACGGAACAAAACUCACUGCCGAAAAUGCCAUGAAGUAACCAUAGCAACGCCCUGCCUGCUCACGUGGCUAAGCUUUGACCAAAAUAAUAUUUCAGCGUUAUGUUUUCCAAUAAACCUCUGUCUUGGCAUUUUGUUAGACACAUUUGUCAAGCUGCUUCAGCGCUGUCUUGCAGUGUUGCCAGGUUCACGUCUUUUUUAGCUUAACGUUAACGUUACAUUAAUUAUGCUUAGCCCCGUUUGUGGCUUUGGCUCAUGACACGAUCAAGUUUUUGGUGUCAUUAAAGUGGGAAGGUGCCGAUCGCAAUAUUUUGAUAUUUGAGGUAAAGAAAUUGGAUUUACUUUGGUUUGUAAUGGAAUUUGUCUUGUCCGCUGUAACCCCUAUGGUUACAGGCCGUAACCACAGCUUGAACAUUUUAAUUUAAUUUAAUUUAAUUUAUAAAGCACAUUUAAAACAGUCACCAGACUGACCAAAGUGCUGUACAGAAUAAAAAGAAGAGUUAAAUCAAGUCCAAAGCGAAAACACAUACUAAUCAAGAAAAUAGUAAAACACAUUCAAGCAAGACACAUAAUACAAUAAAUAGUAUAAAAAAAAUAAAAGAAUACACUUCUGACCAUGUCAAUUGACAAAAGCUAAGAAAAACAAAUGAGUUUUUAAUAGAGAUUUAAAAAUACAUAAAGAUGGAGCAGCUCUGUGUGUUAGCACCCUAUAACUUUGGCUGUGUUUGACGUAUUUACAUUGAAGUCAGUUCCUUAGAUAAGCCCAGCGAUUCAAAAUAUCCCAUGUUUUGACUUACAGUUUGAGAUUUCUUGUACAUAUAUUUAUAACCCAUAAACAAACAGUAAUUUUUACCAGGUUUGUCAAGUUGAGAUACCCACGUAGAAGGUGACGUUCUCUGGCAACAUUCCCUAAAAUUUCUCUAAAGAGGAUGAAAAGACCUGAACCUUUAGAGAACAUUAGGUACAUUCCUAAAACGUCCUUUGUUGGUUAUAAAAGUCUUGCAGUUCAAGGUUCCUUAUGUGACUUUAGGGGGACGCCUGAGACAUUAACAGAAUGUUCACAAUGUGCAGUGGACCAUACAAACAAAGUAAUAAAUAAAUGAUUUCAGAAUGAAGAAAAAUAAAUGAGUGAUUUAGUCUGCACUAUCAUACAUCAGACAAAUAUACUAAUAUGUAUUAUGUUGUACUCUCCGAAUAUGAUGAUUUAGAUUGCAAUGCAUCUUGGAAACAGUAGUCAGUUAACAGCAACAGCGUUUAAUCCGCUUUAUGAAAAGGACUACCUUUAAUGGCACAGCUUACAAGAGGACCCGGAAGUCGCAUGAAAUUCAAACUGCCACAAUUGACGACGUUUGAUCUUCGUUUGUCUUUAUAUAAUAUACUGUAAGAAGUCAUGUACCACACUUCGUCAAACCUGAAGAAGUGUUUCUUCCUGCAAUCUGGGUAAAGAAUGAUGCUCCAGAUCUGGAGAUUGAAGUUCCUAAAGGUUGAUGUUUAUCAAGCUUGUGACCUUAUUGUAUGGUGUUAAUUUUUACAUUUGUAUAUCUAAUACACAUUUGCACAUCUGAAAACAUACAUUUUACAUUUUGUGGGUUAUUUUUUAUUUUAUUCAACCAGUUGUUAAAUAUUGGUUUCUGUUAUUACAUUUUAUGCACUUCAACUGUAAAUGUUUUGUUUUAAUUGGAUCUUUAUUGUUUUAAACAAUUUAAUUAUUGUGGGUUUUUGUUAGCUUUUAUGUUAUUCUUGUAUUUUUUGGCUAUUUAUUUGUAGCUUUUUUAUUAUCAUUCUGUUUAUUUGCCAGAUUUUGACAUUCUGUUUAUUUUUCCUGUAAUCCCACUUCGAUUAUUUUCUGUGUUUUUCAAUUAUACAUUUCCAUCACAGUCCCAGUUUGUUAAAGCUUGUUUUUCCAUGUUUCACCGUUCAUCAUUCAUUUGGACUUCAUUUCCCAUAAUCCUCUUCACUCUCUCACCUGAACUGUGUUUGUUAUUAUCCUCACCUGACAGUCAUCCCCCUCAUAACUCAAUUGUCUAAAUACCCCGCUGUUCCCUUUGUAGGUCAGUUCUUGUUUAUAGUGAUGUGUUGUGAGUUUUGCUGUUUACCAGUUGCCAUGUUCCUUGUUUAAUAUCAAUUAAAGAUUAUCAUUUUGGAUUCAUCAUCUCUAUCUCCUCCUUUAUCCUCCACCACACCAAUCGUAUCAAUUUCACAGUAUAAUUAUAUAUUGGUUGAGUUACCGCUAUUUUUUGGGGCUUCUGGAUAAGUUGUGGGUGAGUCUCAAAACGUUCUGGGAACUUUAAUAGGCAAUGUCCUUAACACCAGCAGGGUCGUUCUGAGCGCGUUCUGGAAACGUAAAGUCUACAUAAAAUAUGGUCCCUUUGACAUUUCCAGAACGUUCUGAAUGUUCUGAAUGUCUGCUGUCCUCCAACCCUUUCAAGAACUCCACAACACGUCCGUCUCAGAACGUUUUGGGAACUUUACUGGGCAACGUCCUUAACACCAGCGGGGUCAUUCUGAGAACGUUAUGGGAACGUAAAAUUUCUAGGGGGGAUAUGGGCACAGGACAUCCUCUUACAUGUAUCUUGUCUGCCUCACCAUUUUGGUGACCGUAAACCAUUAAACUGUGUUUUUAAGUGUGCAUUUUACACAGAUUUUUUAUAUACUCAUUAUCAGGCAUGUCCAGAUUUGUUUCCCGUUAUGCACAACUGCCCAUGUUGGGCUUGACUUGGCAUUGCAGCUUACAGCUAUAAAUGUUACUGUACAUGUGCACUUUCUGUAAAAUGACUCCAGAUUAUUUCUCUGUCAUCUGAUAAGCAGAAUCAUGGGUUUCUACAAUUUACUUAUAUUUUAUGAUGCUGUCUGAAUAAGCAUUGUG